CAACACUCACAGCUCACGCUUCUUCUUUCUCUCUCUCUCGUGUUCUAACCUUUUUUUUUUUGCAAAGAAUUCAAAAUACAAUCCAAACUUCAACUCUACACCUCUUGUUUCUAUAAUUUCCUGCUGAAAGAUUUUGCUGAAUUAAUGGAGCAUACAGAUACUAGCAACACAAAUUCAGAGAAUGACGAAGGUGACAUGGAAACUACUGCUAUAACUGAUGGAGAUCAAAUGGCAAAUAUUAGAGAAAAUAUUGAUGAUAUGGGGCAAAUCAAAAUACUCCUCAUUAGUAUAUUCUUAGUUUAAUUUUUGUUGUAUUUGGAUAUUUGUUUUUAAUGUUUUAAGACCUCCAAAUAUUUAGAAAAAAAGUCUACA